rnacentral:lncRNA from 1 species
UUAUGCUACUGUCACUUUUAUUAUCAAAUAAAUAAAUUUCAACAGCAAAAAUGAUUUUAAUGUUUAGAUUUUUAACAGCAUGUUUAAGGUAAGACAUAGGAUUGUGUUUAGACAGUUUUUUUGUUAUCUUUGGAGUAUUGAUAUUAAUUUUUGUUUAUUCAUUUAUUAUAUCGUAUGUACCAUCUAUUAGAUAAUUCAGAACGUUCAUUCAUUUCAAAAUAAUAAAUUUAUAGCUCCACUCAAUACAAAAUAAAAUUCAAGGUUCCAAACUAUAUGUCUCUACCGUGAAGACCUUAAUGUAAAUAUUGAACUUUUACUACAAGGUAGAGUGAACAAAUUGGAGUCCAUCUUCCUCUCUCAAAAAUAUUUUCUCCCCAUCUCUCUAAAUAUCUAAAUCCAGUUUCAGCUUCUUAUGCCGGUUUCGGUAGCACUGAAACUAUGGUCUUUUAUUACUUCUAAUCUAUUUCGUCACCGGCAUUCUAUUUUGUUUGGUUUUGUAAGACUAAGCAAUGGCUUCGUUGUUUUAGAUCGUGUAUUUGAAACGGCGCUCUGGCUCUCCUUCGCUUUGACAAUCGAUAAUGUUUUAUUUAGAAUUUCCUUUUGUAGUUGUUCGAACUUGAUGCAUGUUGCGUGUUGAGAAGUGAUUUUGCAUUUGGAGUUUUCAUAUAUUGCUUCCCCUGUUUGAGUUUUGACUUUAGGAAUUGGUCUCUUUGUGCGGUGGUUGUCUUGCUCCUUGUCCUGGUGACCGCUCUUGUUUCUGUAUUGCUCGGUGGCUUUUGCCAAAGCUGGUGUUUGGAUGUAACUUCUUCAGCUCCGCUUUUCUCAUUAGUGGAAUGUCUCUUUUGAAACAGAUGUGAUAUCAUUUUUUUCAAUUUCUUCUUUUUUGCCGUUGAUUUAUCCACAAUCAAUGGUUCCUCUAGUUGCGGCUGUCAAUAGCGUUUUUGUGAUGUGGGUCUGUCGUGGUGGUUUUUUGGUGCUUCCAAAGUUUGAACUGUAAUAGUUCUUUCAGAAAUUAUUGGUCACCCGAACUAUUAUUGUGGCUUUGCAAAAAAUAUUUUCUGAGACGAGGAUUAAACAAAUUUGAGGUUCUAUUCCACGUUUUUAAUUUCUGUUUGGCCAUGUCCUUCUUUGGUUUUUAUUGUCUUCAGCUAGCAUCACCUUGAUUUCUUAAGGAAGUGAGUGUGACAUGUAACUAAGUUUAUAAGUAAUUUUUCUUUGUUUCCUCAGUCUCCUACUGUGGAGUUUUAGUUUCAAGGAAUAUGAUGUUUAUCCGCA